rnacentral:tRNA from 1 species
GAGGGUAGAGCUCAGUGGUAGAGCACAUGCUUAGCAUGCAUGAGGCCCUGGAUUCAAUCCCCAGUAUCUCCA